CGCUUUUCAAAAGCGCUCUGGUAGGGGUGUUUAAUGAGAGCGCUUUUUGUCAAAAGCGCUGGUAUAGACCAGGCUAUGAGAGCGCUUUUCAGAAGCCCUUUAGUAGCCUUUAUUACUAAAAAUUAAAAACCAAAACACGCGUUACUGUUUCUCAUUUCUCUCUUUCGUUUUCUGCAGAACCCUUCCGUCCACCACUGUUCUUCAUCCACAAACCCUCACUGCACGCGAAACCCUUCCGUCCACCACCAUCGGCAACCACCGUCGGCGUCCCUCCGUCGGCUUCUCCUCCGUCACUCGUUUUAUCCACCGCCGGUCUGACUGGAUUGAUAACUUUGGAUCUCUUUGGAGCUCGUAUCAUUGACUCUGGUACUACAUAUUUAGGAGGGUAACUUGUGUAUAGUGAAAGUUUGAUCGUUUCCCAGCCUAGUUCGACGUUUGGCGUUUUCUUGAGUUCGGUAACAUCCGAGGGGUUACUUGUGAAGAGUGGAAGUUUGACCGUUGUUGUUUAGCUUAAUUAAGACAUGGAUAAGACAUGGAUGAAUUCAAACCGAUUGUCGAAAGAGUACGAGAAAGGGGUAUGGGAAUUUGUUGAGUUUGCGGUUGCGAACUCCAAAGACCCGCUUCGAAUGCCGUGUCCUUGCUUGGGUUGCUGUUAUGCCGGGGGUAAGGUUGACGGGAAUCAGUUGGGAUCUCAUUUACUACGGUUUGGAAUUGAUAGAAGUUAUACAUGUUGGACAAUGCAUGGUGAGAAAAGUACCGGGAAUGCUGGGUCGAGGUGUAAUAGGAAGUAUGCUU